rnacentral:rRNA from 1 species
GACGAACGCUGGCGGCGUGCCUAAUACAUGCAAGUCGAACGCAGUUGGGACGGGUGAGUAACACGUGGGUAACCUCCCAUCAGAGGGGAGAACACUUGGAAACAGGUGCUAAACCGAUACUGGUUGAUGGACCGGCGGGGCAUUAGCUAGUUGGUGAGGGAACGGCUGACCAAGGACACGAUGCAUAGCCGACCUGAGAGGGUGAUCGGCCACACUGGGACUGAGACACGGCCCAGACUCCUACGGGAGGCAGCAGUAGGGAAUCUUCCGCAAUGGACGAAAGUCUGACCGAGCAACGCCGCGUGAGUGAAGAAGGUUUUCGGAUCGUAAAGCUCUGUUGUUAGAGAAGCGGUAUCUAACCAGAAAGCCACGGCUAACUACGUGCCAGCAGCCGCGGUAAUUC